ACUCCUACGGGAGGCAGCAGUGGGGAAUAUUGGACAAUGGGCGAAAGCCUGAUCCAGCCAUGCCGCGUGAGUGAUGAAGGCCCUAGGGUUGUAAAGCUCUUUUACCCGAGAUGAUAAUGACAGUAUCGGGAGAAUAAGCUCCGGCUAACUACGUGCCAGCAGCCGCGGUAAU
rnacentral:rRNA from 1 species